AUUGAACGCUGGCGGCAGGCCUAACACAUGCAAGUCGAACGAGUGGCGGACGGGUGAGUAAUGUCUGGGAAACUGCCUGAUGGAGGGGGAUAACUCCUGGAAACGGUAGCUAAUACCGCAUACCAUCGGAUGUGCCCAGAUGGGAUUAGCUAGUAGGUGGGGUAAAGGCUCACCUAGGCGACGAUCCCUAGCUGGUCUGAGAGGAUGACCAGCAACACGGGAACUGUGACACUGUCCAGACGCCUACGGGAGGCAGCAGUGGGGAAUAUUGGACAAUGGGCGCAAGCCUGAGGCAGCCAUGCGGCGUGUAUGAAGAAGGCCUUGGGGUUGUAAAGUACUUUCAGCGGGGAGGCGUUACCCGCAGAAGAAGCACCGGCUAACUCCGUGCCAGCAGCCGCGGUAAUAC
rnacentral:rRNA from 1 species